UCCCAGUUGUGUAGCAAUACAUGAUUGGGGGAAGUGGNGAAAGGGGCAGUAAAGCGUGGGUAACCUACCCUGGGGAUGGGCAUAGCCGUUCUAACGAGCGGGUAAUACCCAGCGAUCCGGCCGAGAGGACAUCCUCUUGCCGGGAAAUGAGUUUCGCCUCGGGAGGGGCUCACGUGCUAUUAGCUAGUUGGUGAGGUAACGGCUCACCAAGGCAAAGAUGGCUAGCGGGUGUGAGAGCACGACCCGCGCCACUGGCACUGAGACACUGGCCAGACACCUACGGGUGGCUGCAGUCGAGGAUCUUCGUCAAGGGCGCAAGCCUGAACGAGCGACGCCGCGUGUGCGAUGAAGGCCUUCGGGUUGUAAAGCACUGUCGAGGGGGAUCAAGGCGUAAGCUUGAUUGAUCCCUGGAGGAAGCACGGGCUAAGUUCGUGCCAGCAGCCGCGGUAAGACGAACCGUGCGAACGUUGUUCGGAAUCACUGGGCUUAAAGGGCGCGUAGGCGGCAUGGUAGGUCGGGGGUGAAAUCCCACAGCUUAACUGUGGAAGAGCCUCCGAUACCGUCAUGCUGGAGGAGGGUAGGGGUGCGCGGAACUUCUGGUGGAGCGGUGAAAUGCGUUGAUAUCAGAAGGAACGCCGGCGGCGAAAGCGGCGCACUGGA
rnacentral:rRNA from 1 species